AAAGCCUAUAAAAGCCCGACCUGCGCCUCCCGUCCAUUCACUGUUCCUCCACCCGGCACAGUAAAGGAGCCUCCAUCACCUCCAUCACCUCCAGCAUGAAGAAGCUGAGCAUCGUUUCCCUCGCAGUUCUGCUGCUGGCUCUCUGUCUCACCGCUCAGAGGGCUGAGGCAAACAGCACCGCCCCCACCACCGUCACCACCACCCCCACCUCCGUCUCCACCAGUGAACCCACUAAGAGUGGCUGCGGGGGUCCCGCCCUCUCCACGCUGCUGCUGUCCCCGCUGCUGCUCGCGGCUCUUCUGUUUCACGCCUGAUGUGAGGGAGCGGACACGGCACAGCCGCCACGCGUGGACUGGAGACGCAUCUUUAGUUUUAUUACAGAUUCAGUGUUUUUCUUGUUCUUCUUUUUUUUCUUUGAAGUGAAAUAAUUUUCAGUGUUGAUGGGAAAUGUUUUAAAAGGCGCGCGCGCCGCCCCGAUUGGCUCCGGUCUUUACGCACCGGCGGGCACACAGGCUGCUUUUCCUGCCUCCUCUCUUCACGCUGUAAACUCGCACAGAGGCCGGGAGGAGCAUGACGCCACUCCACCUGUGAAGAAGAAAAUCCGUUUAAAGUGAUUGUACACGAACGAGUUUUGUACUUUAGACCAGAUUUCUCGAAUUUUAUACAAAGAAUAAAACUGUAAAUUGUAAGAACACGUGACUGAGCUCUUGUUUUUCCCCGUCGAGUGUUGCAGUAUGAAGUAUAGAUGCUACUGGAAGAGUUGGAGCAGGUGAGCUGAGAACACUGAUAAUCAGGUCUGGUGUCCGUGUCAGCCGCACAGGCGGAUUAUCAGGCUCAGCUUAAUCUGGUUUCGGGUGACUGUAAAUAAACAUGUGGCUGAUAGAAUCGAAAAGCAGCUAUUUUAAGCGUGCUCUGCUCUAAAUAUGUAAUUAUGCACAUUUACGCAGCUGCUUGCAUUUAUUCUUUUGCAUAGAACACUUGGUUGUGCAGUAGAGGUUUGAUGGUCAAACAUCUCGCUUGAAUAAAACUUUUAUUUAUAAUUUGAACCUCAUCACAAAAGCUGAAUCACUUCUUUACGUUCAGCUUGUUUAACAUUUGCAGACCUGCUGAAAGUACCGGUAUGAAAACUAUGAAGUGAAUUCUAACAUGUAGACACAUCUCCAGGAGCCUUUUGGCCCAUCUGACACAAAAAACUGCAGUAACUCUGCCUGGAUGUGUCAAAAGCACGGAUCACUUUUAAAAGUGGAGCGGAUUGUAAAAUUAUACCAACUUUCUUUAUAUUAUAUUUUCAGUAUGAGCUCAGAGAUCCAAGAGAUGAAAUAAUAUUUGCAAAGUGAAUCUGUGAUAACUUGGAGGGAAAGGACUCAAAAGGGAGACACUCAGAGGAAGAAAAGGGAAAAUGCCAGGAGCUGAAGUCAGAAUCAGUAAACAAGCUCAAACACAAACAGAUGAGAAAUAAAAAAGGAAGUGAAAACUGGAAACAGUAGGAACGUUAGAAAGACUGACAAACUGAGGGAGACUAUCUAGUAAAGUAGACGGAGUGUAUACGCUGUGACAGGAUGCAGGGGUGUGGCUGGGGAAUAAUGGACAGGUGUAGAUCACAGGUGAAAGUAAGACCCAAUGAGGGAGUGAGGAUGAACUGAAAAAAUAAAGCAGGUUUUAGUCACAGCGCUGAAAACAGUGUGAGGAGUCUGAUAAAUGUGACGAGGCUGAUUAUUUGAUAUGUGGUCGUGGUUAAAAGGUUUGAGUUCAGUUAAGUAAAUAGUUUCACAUGAACAACAUAUUACAUGAUGUGUCACUAUUAUUUCACAAACACGAAGCCAAAGUCCAGCCUUGCUUCGUUAUGAGGGUAACUAUGAGCUAGGUGCUGCUAAUCAAACACACUCGAUUAACUGAUCCUCAUCAGGUGUGAGCACCUCUGUCAGACCAGUUAGCAGAUCUGCAACAUUUAGGUGUGUUGACACAACGUCAGUAGUGAUCUUAGAGACCAGAGUCUGUGAAGGCUUUCAUAAGAACAAACGAUCAUCAUUCUGCAGUGAGAGAUUAUUCAUGAGUGGAAGACGUUCAAGAGGCUGACAAUUUUCCCAGGAAAUUCACCUCAAGAUUUUCUUUGUUAAAACAAAGUUGUCCAAACCUGCCAGGCCUGUGUGAAAUGAAUUUAGCCACAUUGGAGGUUUUCCAGCAUGAACUUUGACGUCACGCCAAAACAUCUCCACCCGAUUAAAGUCCACAUUUUGACUCGGCCACUCCAAAACCUUAAUUCUGGCGUUUUCAGACAUUCAGAGGUGACUGGCUCGUGUGUUUGGGUUAUACACCAGGACAAUGAUUGAGCUGAUGGGCGGACAUCUUCCUUUAGGGUUUCCUGGUGGAGAGCACAAUUCAUGUUUCCCUCAGUCACAGCAUCCCAGACCAUCACACCACCACAGUGUAUGCCAGCUGCUGGGAUGUUCUCUUUAUGAAACGCUGUUAGUCUGAUGCAGACGUAACAGGAAAUGGUUCAGCUUCUGUCUCAUCAGUCCACAGAAAAUACCCAGAAGUCUCAGGGAUCAUCCAGAUGUUUGUUGGCAGAUGUGAGAUGAGCUUUUGUGAUCCUUUUGGUCAGCAGUGGUUUCCUUCUUCGACUCUCCCACAGUCUUUCUUUACAGUUGAAUCAUGACCUCUGACCUUAACUGAGGCAGUCGGGUUCUGCCAUGGGGCAUUCAAGUAAAAUCAUGACCAAAUCAAACAUGUGAAUCAUUAAUAAUAACGUCUCCGUGCUGGAUCAGUCGGGGUUAAAGAGACCUGGUGUUGGCCACCAGUGGAAACUGUGCAGAGGAGGAUGCUCGGCAGGGCUGCAAUCUGACAUACUGGGCGUUUUCCCGGUGGAUCGACCCACUUUGGAUUGAUGGGCCGGCCUGGAGGGCCUACACUCAGCUAAAGUGUAGCUCUUAAUAAUUGUUCCACAUGCUGCAGCACAACUAAGAAAUAACCCAACAACUGUACCAACCUGAUUAUCUAUAAUCUCUGAUGCUGAGCAUCCAAUGAGAUGAUGGCAGAGGAUCCACUGUGGUGACACCAAAGGGUGCAGUGGAAAAAACAAGAUUAUGGUGUGUAAUGGCACAUUCCCUUUUUUCUCCACCUCACUUAAGUGAAACAGGAAAGUUGCUCAUUUGCAGUGUUUCAUCAUAAAGCCAAUAAAA